UGUAAACAAGCCUGUAGGCAAGACAGCGCGCCGCGGAGGGACGGCAGCGGAGCGCGCUGUCAGAAAUAGAGGCGCCCGCGUUAUUUACACAGCUUUUUGUGCGUUUUUAGGUUGAAUAAGUGCUUGUUGUAUAAGCGAAGAGGUAGAAGAGCUGUGGUUCGCUCUCUGAGAGCACAGGAAAUGUGAUUCCUCAGUAAUGCACCUGUUUCAGCUGCGGAGAAGCGAACCUUUGUCUCGUGUUUAUGGAGACAAGGCCAGUGCACAUGUCAUGCGGCUGAAUAAUAAAAUGUAGAACCAGGCAGAGGAUCCGUCUGAUCAGUGGUUCCUAACCUCCCCCACAGCUCUAUGAGAACAUCAGGCGGCGUAUCCGGCCCGUGUCGGAGUGAAGGGCUGGAUCGAGCUUUCAACAGGUUUUCCCUUUGGCAGUGAACAGUCACAACUACCCUGUAACAACAUGUACUUGUUGGAAAAAGCACAUGCGGAGAUAUUUGCUCCGACAGACCCUGUUAUCAUGUUUAGGCCUAAAGGGAGCGCGCCUGUUAGGACAGAAGUUACUCAACGUCUUUUUAAAAUGUCACAGAAAGGAGAACACGACUGGUCUCCAGCCUUCUUGGCGUGACUUGGAAAGUCUGAAAUCGCCACGUUAAGGGUCUCCAUGCCUGAUCAUAAUGGCCUCAUCUCAGGUAAUUCUCUGGCAUGCGGAGCGACUAUUGUAAUUCUAUGCUUUUUUGUCAGUAUCCAUGGGAAUAUGAAUAAACAGAAGAAAACAACAGUUCCUGGCAGUGUUGUGCCUCCACUUUGCCACCUCCCUUAUAAAUUCUAUUCUCUGUGCAGCUGCCUGUUUCUGCUGCUGCCCCGCUCUGCUCUGCUCUGCUUGGGUCUAAGUUUUAUUCAGCGUUGCGGUCGAGGUUGACCACAGUCCCAGUGACAUUUUGGCAAAGCACAACAGUAUAGGGUCCAGAGUGGUGAGUGUUUACGGGAACACUCGUGAGGUGGCGCCAUGCCAUCCUGCCAAAUGUUAGUCAAAAACACUCAUGUAACCCAGCCAGUGGGAGAGAGAAAUGUGUGAACGCUGAGACAGAUGUACGAUGUGUUGCAGAUUAAUAUGCGAUAUUGUUUUUGUCCUGAACAAUCUCUGUUAAUCACCCCAUCAAUUAUUAACAGCAGUGCUGUGAAUUUCGGGCGGAUUCAGCUCUAAACAACGACAUGUGGUGAUUAGUCGAACACUUCAGUUAUCAGGUUUCAGCUCUAGCUAAAAAACAAAAAAAAAAGUGGCCGACAUCUUAGUCAUAUCUUGAUUAGUCACAUCUCUGUUUAGUCUGUUUAGAUUUAGAGUUGUUCUGUGUACUCAAGUACAGAAAUUCCUUCCUCUGAGUUCUGCUUUUUUCUUUUUUUUUUUUAGUCCUACUUAUCGCCGAAAACUGCUUCAGGAUUUUGUGUUGUUUUUUUUUAUGCAUAUUUUUUGGGCAAACUUUCAAAGAGUUCCAGGGCAGGACGAGCUGCUUGGCAACAGACUCGCUUUUAACAGUCGGGAUCAUGUGGACGAGUGCCAGGACCAACCGAGUGUUACCUGCUCUUGUUCCUGGGUGAGUUUGGGAAAGGCAAGGCCUGAGGGUGGGAGGAAGCUGUUUACCGUAAGAUUAAGCAAAGUGUGUGUGUGUGUGUGUGUGUGUGAACAAGCACGUAUAUCACUUAGGGUGGAGGAUUCAUCAGUGUACGAUUUAUUUUUGACCACAACGUGAACAUCUGCAGGAAGGGAUGAGAUAAGACAAAUGAACAACAGUUUUAAAUGUCGCACAUCUCCACUGAUGAAAAAAAUAUGUUUUGUUGUCAUUAAAGAGACUCGUUUGUG